UGCUAUCAGAUGAGCAGUUGCAUUGCACCUAUGAUUCACAAAAGCAAAAGAUAUCACAUGAGAAGCCAUUAACUCAAUAUCAUGAACAAUGCUGUCAAUAGUAGUAUCUGUCUUCAUGUUCUCAUGUAACAUCUCAACAAGCUGUUUACAAUCUGUCUCCACCAUCUGCUUCCGCAGCCAGAGUCGACUGGCACGAAAAACCCCCUACACCCCAUGCCAUUUCCAUCCAUCCAUCCAUUACUGUCUCGAGCCACCCAUCCUGCUCCACCUUUUAUGUGCGCUUGCGUCCAAGUACCAUCGCAAUUAAAUUUCAUCCAGCUAUCAGUCGGUUUUUGCCAGAUUUGGAAGUCACUACAGUCCCACUCUGGAGGUCUCGGUUGAUCAUGUAUAAGCGGUAUACUUGCCUAUCUUGCCGCCACAACUCCACAAUUUGCUUUUGACAUGUGAGAGCAAUAUCCUGUGGGUGCAUAUGAUGCCCCUAUUAAAUGGAAGCAUUUCAAUUCUUCCAUAACCUCCAUAACCCAAACGCAAACCAUUGCAAAAUAUCCUGAUAAUUGUCCUCCUUUUUAUAUUUUUGAAGGAGCUGCCAACAUGAUAGAAAAUCCCCUCCUUCGAGCAACCUCGUAUCUAAUUGCAAAUGGCUAAUGAACAAGAAUACCCUUGCAAACUCACAGUGGAAAAAAAAAGAAAAAAAAGAUUUACCUAGGAUUCCCCUUCACAACCAUAGAGAGCACAAACAUCCUCAAGAUCAACAUGUCUUUGUUUGAGAUUUUGGCCAACCGCCAGAGCUUUCAAACAAGCUCGCCAGAUGAAGCUUCUAAUUUUUGGCGGUACCUACAACCUCCAAAUACUCGUCCAAAGCGGUAUGUGGUUAUUCCGGAGAAGUUAUAGCUUCAAAACUUCAUUUAUAACACUCAUUAAAAAAAACCUGAUUGGCACACGUCUCCAACCCUGUGUUAUAAGAAAAGCGAUUCGAGGGCACAACACGAAGCGAGUCAGAGAGAGAGAGAGAGAGAGAGCGAGCGCGAGAGUGAAAGAAAGAGCAAGACCGAAGUCAGGGCAAUAUAGGAGAGCAACGAAGUCUACCAGCGAGAGACAGAGAUGCCUAUAGACUGUUGGAUGACCUCAACUUAGAGGGAGUUUAAUAUGAUGGCCAAGUUCAUCUGCUAUCCAUCCAAAUGCCGCAUUCCAAUGCAGGAGGCCAAGAAGAAUAAGUGUGAUGCUGCAAAGGGGAAGCUUCGGGGAACCCAACGCAUUGUGGUUGAAAACCACAAGGACAUCAACGGGCUAAGGAAGUUCACAUUGAAAACUAAAUGGAAGGGCAUUGUUGCUAUAGAAGAUGACAACAAAAACAGAGGAAAGUUACGGGGCCAUUUGAGAAGCGUGGCGAAAGAAAUCGAUUCAGAAAUCAAAUUUCUUAAGUUUUAGGUCACAUGGGAUUGAAGUCGCAGGAAUUUGUGAUGAAGAGAAACUGAAUCAAGGUGAGAAGGCUCUCUGAGAAUAUGAAACAUUUUUCUUGUGUGUAUUGCUACUUAUCGAUUUGCUGAAGGAGUUGUGUAUUGUCGUUUAUAAUUUUCUAUUUUCAUACUGGGAUUAAUUUUGGUGUUAAUAUUCCAAUUUGAAUUGAUGAGGCACAUAUAUGAG